GUUGCACUCGACAGUCAGACAGAGAUAUGACAUUAUACGUUUCACGUCCAACAAGUCGUAACUUUCAUAAGAAACAAAUUAAAAAGUUAAACAACGCAGAUCGGAUAAUGAGUCAACUGUUUAUAAUGUCAGCUGAAGUUGUUGUAUGACCUUGCCAACUGGGGCCAAUAAAGCAGCCAAUAAUGCAAGCUAUGUCUUCUGAAGCUAAAUAAUUUCUGUUGCAAGUUGUAAAUCUUCAAGAUAUUGGUGCCUUCGCCAGAUCCAAUUCUUUACUGCAAUCUAUUUUGAGGACGCCAGCAAGAAAAAGCUGCUACUCAAGAUUUUAUGGUGACCACCACUGAGUUCUAAUUUAAGACAAUGUUAAUCCCUCACCACCGUUAUAGUUGUUUGGAAACUGACGAGAGAUUGCUGGAACUGAAGAUUGAUAAUUUGUGUAGACUUAGAUAAAUUACA
rnacentral:lncRNA from 1 species